CUUCCUUGGAUCUGGAUGUGAUCCUGGGACAGCUCCCUCCAUACAUACAUUAGGAUGGAGCCUAUGUGUCUUCCGGUCGUCUCCUCCCCCCUAUGGUCCACACUUGUGACUCCCGGAACGGGGGUUUCUCUUGCUAUGGGGGUCUUCGGAUCAUUUUUACUUCUCAGCAACCUUCUCUGAUUACAUAUUAAUUCAUUAACCCUUGAGUGAGUACAAUUCCCCUGAAGAAGACCGUGACAGUUUAGGUCGAAACGCGUCGGGGUACUCAUAUGGAAACAAUUGAAUCAUGAUGUAACGUGUAUUGUAUUGUUGUUGAUUUUUGCCACUGUUAUUUUUAUUUUCAUGUAUAAUCAGAGUGUACUAUAUGUAUAUUAUCUACAUUAUUUUACAAAUGCUCCAACCAUGUUGUACAUUUUAUUGUAAUUCAAUGUUGAAACCAAGUAAAGAUUUUAACUUCAAUAUCA